GCGAAGAACCUUACCUGGUCUUGACAUCCACGGAAUUCGGCAGAGAUGCCUUAGUGCCUUCGGGAACCGUGAGACAGGUGCUGCAUGGCUGUCGUCAGCUCGUGUUGUGAAAUGUUGGGUUAAGUCCCGCAACGAGCGCAACCCUUAUCCUUUGUUGCCAGCGGUCCGGCCGGGAACUCAAAGGAGACUGCCAGUGAUAAACUGGAGGAAGGUGGGGAUGACGUCAAGUCAUCAUGGCCCGGUACGACCAGGGCUACACACGUGCUACAAUGGCUGCAUUUCUUAGAGAAGCGACCUCGCGAGAGCAAGCGGCCUCAU
rnacentral:rRNA from 1 species